CUCCAUUUUAUUUCAGAAGUUGUGUCCUUAAAGGGUUAAAAUAUCUAUUCUUUGAUGUAACCCCUUAAGGACCAAACUUCUGAAAUAAAAGGA